rnacentral:rRNA from 1 species
GAUGAACGCUAGCGGCAGGCUUAACACAUGCAAGUCGAGGGGUAUAGGUUUUCGGACCUAGAGACCGGCGCACGGGUGCGUAACGCGUAUGCAAUCUACCUUUCACAGAGGGAUAGCCCAGAGAAAUUUGGAUUAAUACCUCAUAGUAUAGCAGUUUCGCAUGAAACCACUAUUAAAGUUCCAACGGUGAAAGAUGAGCAUGCGUCCCAUUAGCUAGAUGGUAAGGUAACGGCUUACCAUGGCUACGAUGGGUAGGGGUCCUGAGAGGGAGAUCCCCCACACUGGUACUGAGACACGGGCCAGACUCCUACGGGAGGCAGCAGUGAGGAAUAUUGGUCAAUGGACGCAAGUCUGAACCAGCCAUGCCGCGUGCAGGAUGACGGUCCUAUGGACUGUAAACUGCUUUUGUACGAGAAGAAACAACAUUACGUGUAAUGUCUUGACGGUAUCGUAAGAAUAAGGAUCGGCUAACUCCGUGCCAGCAGCCGCCGUAAAAC